GAUGAACGCUAGCGGCAGGCUUAAUACAUGCAAGUCGAGGGACAGCACAGGUAGCAAUACUGGGUGGUAACCGGCAAACGGGUGCGGAACACGUACACAACCUUCCUUUAAGUGGGGGAUAGCCCAGAGAAAUUUGGAUUAAUACCCCGUAAUAUAGUUGAAUGGCAUCAUUUGAUUAUUAUAGCUACGGCGCUUAAUGAUGGGUGUGCGGCUGAUUAGAUAGUUGGCGGGGUAACGGCCCACCAAGUCUACGAUCAGUAGCUGAUGUGAGUGCAAGAUCAGCCACAAGGACACUGGGACACGGGCCCGAAUCCUACGGGAGGCAGCGGUAAGGAAUAUUGGUCAAUGAACGCAAGUCUGAACCAGCCAUGCCGCGUGAAGGAUUAAGGUCCUCUGGAUUGUAAACUUCUUUUAUUUGGGACGAAAAAGGGCCUUUCUAGGUCAACUGACGGUACCAGAUGAAUAAGCACCGGCUAACUCCGUGCCAGCAGCCGCAGUAAGAC
rnacentral:rRNA from 1 species